AAUGAACGUUGGCGGCGUGGAUUAGGCAUGCAAGUCGAGCGAGAACCGUAGCAAUACGGGGACAGCGGCGAACGGGAGAGUAACGAGUGGAGUACCUACCCUGAGACCCGGGAUAGCCGUGGGAAACCGCGGGUAAUACCGGAUAAUGUCUCCGGACCAAAGGUGUGAUUCCGUCUGAGGAUGGCUCCGCUUCCGAUCAGCUAGUUGGUGAGGUAACGGCUCACCAAGGCAACGAGGGGUACCGGGUGUGAGAGCAUGACCCGGCUCACUGGGACUGAGACACUGCCCAGACACCUACGGGUGGCUGCAGUCGAGAAUCUUCGGCAAUGGGCGCAAGCCCGACCGAGCGACGCCGCGUGCGGGAUGAAGGCCCUCGGGUUGUAAACCGCUGUCAGAGGGGAUGAAAUGCCAGGCAGCAAUCUGUUUGGUUUGACAUAUCCUCGGAGGAAGGACGGGCUAAGUUCGUGCCAGCAGCCGCCGUAAUAC
rnacentral:rRNA from 1 species